GACCUUGUAGCUCAGAAGGUAGAGCAUCGUUCUAGAAAUGCGCGGGUUCGAAUCCCAGCCGCGGUCA